rnacentral:rRNA from 1 species
GCCUAAAGCGUCCGUAGCCGGCUCUGUUAGUUUUCGGUUAAAUCCAUAUGCUCAACAUAUGGGCCGCCGGGAAUACUACAAAGCUAGGGAGUGGGAGAGGUAGACGGUACUCCGUAGGAAGGGGUAAAAUCCUUUGAUCUAUGGAUGACCACCAGUGGCGAAGGCGGUCUACCAGAACACGUUCGACGGUGAGGGAUGAAAGCUGGGGGAGCAAACCGGAUUAGAUACCCGGGUAGUCCCAGCUGUAAACUAUGCAAACUCAGUGAUGCAUUGGCUUGUGGCCAGUGCAGUGCCGCAGAGAAGUCGUUAAGUUUGCCGCCUGGGAAGUACGUACGCAAGUAUGAAACUUAAAGGAAUUGGCGGGGGAGCACCACAAGGGGUGAAGCCUGCGGUUCAAUUGGAGUCAACGCCAGAAAUUUUACCCGGAGAGACAGCAGAAUGAAGGUCAAGUUGAAGCCUUUACCAGACAAGCUGAGAAGUGGUGCAUGGCCGUCGCCAGCUCGUGCCGUGAGGUGUCCUGUUAAGUCAGGUAACGAGCGAGAUCCUUGCCUCUAGUUGCCACCAUUACUCUCAGGAGUAGUGGGGCGAAUUAGCGGGACUGCCGUAGUUAAUACGGAGGAAGGAGAGGGCCACGGCAGGUCAGUAUGCCCCGAA